UGAUCGCCAGCUCUAUACGACUCACUUCAGGGCUGCUCGGGGGGGCCUUCAAUUCGACGGGCCCGGGUCCGAUUAUCCGGUUGAUCCUGGCAGAGGUCUCCGUUCUCGGGGUUCGAUUAAGCCAUGCGAGUCGAGAGGGUUCAGACCCUCGGCGGACUGCUCAGUAACACGUGGAUAAUCUGCCCUAUGGUGGAGGAUAACCCCGGGAAACUGUUUUUUAUUACUCCAUAAGUCAGGAGUACUGGAAUGUCUCCUAACUGAAAGUUGCGGCGCCAUAGGAUGUUUUCAUCAUCUCUUUUAGGUAGUUGUUGGGGUAACGGCCCAACAAGCUCCUUUUAUCGGUACGGGUUGUGGCGAGCCACGCCCCCUGGAGAUGGAAUCUGAGACACGAUUCCAGGCCCUACGGGGCGCAGCAGGCGCGAAUAACUUUACAAUGCGGAAACUGUGAUAAGGGAACCCCGAGUGCCCGUAAACGCGGUCUGUCUCGGUGUUUAAAACACAUCGGAAGAAAGGGCCGAACAAGACUGGUGCCAGCCGCGCGCUAAUACCGGCGGCUCGAGUGAUGACACUUUUUAUGGCUAAAGCGUUCGUAGCUGGAUUUUAGUCUCUGGGAAAUCUCCGCCUACUGCAGGCGUCUAGAAAACUGGCAUCUAGACGCAAGUAAGUACUCAGGUCAAUUAUUCUGUAUUCUGAGACCCGAUGGCGAGAUUUACG
rnacentral:rRNA from 1 species